GCUAAUUGUUGCCUUUUCAUUUCAACAGGAGACAAACUCACAUCCUUCCCACCAAAGAAAUCAGCCCUUACUGUUGCUAGCAGUGCUGAACUAUGGUCAUGCAGUGGAAGAGUUGGUGAUCUCCCAGUACGUCGGUUUCCUAUAAAAACUAACACCCUACAGUCAGGACUGCCAGCAUUACUAUGGAAACUCCCAAACACAAAGACUUUCCCAGCCUUGUGAGAGCACACCUGCAAGAGCAAGAAUUGCCUGUCAGAAGCGACUCUCCUUCAUUAUUGGUGUCACCUAAGGACAUUUUUUGUGGAUCUUGGGCUCAGGAAUAGCACUUUAAAUUGAAGAAAUUUUUUGAAUCAAUGCAUUUAAAGCCUGCUCACACAGGACCCAUGUUUAUUUCAGGUAACCUUGACGAAUACUUUGUUCUACAGUUGCACUCAUAAAUCCAUCUGCCAUUACCCAAACCCCUCACAAACUGUUUAGUGAGCUCAGGAGUUUUCCAGUUAGCAGCGAUGACAAAGCACUAGACUACUGCAAAACCCAUGACGGAGAAGCUGAGCAAUAACAGACGCCAGCCAAAUAGAUCACUGGGGUGGAAGGUCAUCCUUGAACAGUAUUUCCAUUUUUCCCCUCUUGGUAAAUUGCUCUGGGAACAAUCCUCUUUUCUAGCAUAAUGUAAUCAAGAAUUAGAAAGUCACCACCACUUACACAGAGCUACAGUUCCUGGCCUGGCUGGCUGCGUUGGGAAUUUUAACUGAUGUCUCCACCCAAGCAGCAUGUGGAACCAAUGUAAUGGCUAACACAAUUCAGAGCUUAAAAUGGAGUGAUGUUGCGGUUCCAGCUGUUUUUGUAAGUCAGUACAAAAGACUUUUGGAAGCUUUAGAGGAGAAAUAGAAACGGUGAGGUGAGGAAUGGCUCCUAGUCUGAUGACGUACACUAAGGAAUAUGUGAGAGACAAUGCAAAGAGCAAGACAAAAGUAAAGCAUCACCAGCCAGUAUUACACAGCACCAUGCUCAGCACCAAGAAAGUGAUGACUGGUGGGACAUACUUCAUGGGAAAGAGGUAUUUUAUUUUUUAUGUCUGAUUUUAGAAAAGGCACAGCCCUGUACCUAUGGAAAGGUGAAGAUAUGUAACAACCUAGGGGUAGACAAUAAAGCUUUCAUUCUGAUAAAGAAGAAAGAUUCACCGUAAGUAGACUUGGCCCAAGUACCCUUAACAGGUACCAUCCUGACUCACAGUGCUCUACAAAUCCCUUAAUUACCAGAAAGCUGCAUCUCCUUACGUACCAGCUUAAUCCAAGUUAACUCUGGAAGCGCCUGUUUCUUUCCUGAGAACUGACCUAUACUUUUUGACCAAACAAGUUUCAACUUUCUUCCCUAGUCCUAACAUGCAGAGACCCCAAAACCACUGGCAAGGCGUGAUGACAACAAGCAUUUACAUUAUUACCAAAUAUAUUUCCAUGUAGGUCCCUGGUUAUAAGCAGUAGUUCUGUUAGCUACUAAUCGUGAUGCAGUUGUUUAGCAAUUUAAUAAGUACUUAGUAUUUAAGAAGUAUUAAAUGGUUAUACUUUUAUAUAUAAUAUGGUUAUAUUAUGGUAUAAUAUAUAAUGUUAUGUAUUAUAACAUUGCAUAUUGUAAUGGUUAACUGCCCUUCCAGCAGACUCUGUCUUCCCAACAGUACUUACUCUUUGAUGGCAAGAAAUACACAGUUUUGCAGAGAAGGCUGUGGGCAAGAAAGGUCAAGCCUUAGGAAGGAGGCUCCUUUGUGCAUGUGUGUUUCUACCUGUACACUUCAUACCUGCAUUUACCACAGCUGAUCUUUAUCUGCAUGCAAGAAUCCCGACGGCUACACCAUUUAUUGAGAUCAAGGCAAACUUCCUUGUUUUCAGAGUUCAUCCAUCAGGACUAACAGUCCAGGAGGCAUCUUCCCUGGGCAUUAGGGCAGGGAAGCAUUCAUAUGAACUCCAGAUCACUGCAGUAAAACGCAAUCUUACAAAGGGAGCACAUGCAACAUCUCAACAGAUCACAGCCUUGAAAAGGAUCCAAGACCAGUCAGCAACUGCAUCUUCCCUACGUGAAAUCAGUCCAUCUUAUAAAACCAUCUCACAGGGAAGGAAACGUCCAACAGUAACAUGAAAUGAAUGUAACAACAAAACCAGCAUUAGAGCUCUCUGACAAACUGCGUGGGAAACACAGUUCCUGGGAAUAUGGAUUACAGGCAACUCUUCAAGACCUAUUUUGAAAGGAUGUGUGUGGUAUUGAGGCAGCUGGAAUUUGCAUACAGAUAAAACAGAAACGUAACCCUGGAGGCCAGAACUAUGAUCUUGACCUUUUGGCAAUUGAUGACAACAGAAUUAUGAUCAGCGGGAUGCUGACUCCCAGUGUUUCCCAAGCACCUUCUGCAGGAACUGGAGGAACAUCUUGUAUACGUUGAGCAUGAAACAGAAGGUCCCUCAGUUCAUCAACACCACAGUGCCCAACAGGCACUGCUCUUUUGAGAAACAUUAGUCCUAGACUCAGCAGUUUGCCUGAAUUUCAACCAAAUGAAGCCUCACGACUGCUAAAACCAGAUGAAGGGUAACCAGACCUGGCCUGGCACUGCUGCUGACGCCCUUGCGCACUAACGCAGACCCUGUGAACUCGACUGAAUGGGCAAAGCAUCCCAAAGGUCGGGGAAUAAAAGCUGUUUCAGACCACCCCAUUAAGAGUCCACCCCGGCAUCCGUACAGGCUGCCGGCGCCAAUGAUCCUGUACUGGAUUCAGGGCCAUGUUCUAUGCUCUUCAGGAUUCUCCAUCCCAAGACUGAAGUUCAGGUUCCUGCUGCCCAGCAAAAUCUGGAGAAAAACUGUUGGUUUGAAAUCACGGUAGAAUCAGAAAACACAUUGCUCCAACCUCAAAUUCAGAGAUAGAGCUGCUGUAUGAAGUCAAAAACAAACUUUGCUAUGAUGAAGCUGCAACCAAAAGGUAAUACCAAAUUCACAGACAACACAAAAGUGACAACUUCUUUCCUGUUAAAAAAUUCUUACAUUUAAAAAAUAAGCUUAAUUCUUUUUUGGUGGAGACAGUGUUAUUUUUGGCUACAAAUAUGCAUUGCAUAGCGUGUUUAGAAGUAAGUUAGCCCUUUUAUUAAAUGCAUUAUUAGAGUAGGUCUAUGAUACAUGUUAUAUAAGCACCCAGAAAUAUUGAUUUCUUUCGUCAAAACCGCCAAGCUUCCAAGUCAGAAAACACAUCUAAGCCUAUGUUGAAAUAGUGGCACUACCUGUUGACCUAAAUGGUGUAAGCAUUUGGGCAACAAGGGCCUAAAGUAUGAUGCCAAGUGAUAAUCAGUGACCUCGACAUGGCCCGCGAU